UACGGAGGGAGCUAGCGUUGUUCGGAAUUACUGGGCGUAAAGCGCACGUAGGCGGCUUUGUAAGUUAGAAGUGAAAGCCCGGGGCUCAACUCCGGAACUGCCUUUAAGACUGCAUCGCUUGAAUCCAGGAGAGGUGAGUGGAAUUCCGAGUGUAGAGGUGAAAUUCGUAGAUAUUCGGAAGAAACACCAGUGGCGAAGGGCGGCUCACUGGACUGGUAUUGACGCUGAGGUGGCGAAAGCGUGGGGAGCAAACAGG
rnacentral:rRNA from 1 species